UGUGGAAAUGAUGCACUUAGGGAACUUUCCUCUCCUGGGAAAAGUGGUAGCAUCUUUUUCUUGUCUCAAGAUGAUCGCUUCAUGAUUAAGACGCUCCGGAAGUCUGAAGUACAGGUUUGUGGAGUUUGCUGAAAGAAUAUUAAGUGCCAAACUUGUCUUCGUCAUUUACCCUUUCCUUUAUCUGUUUUUGAGUGGGUGAAAUUAUGAAGGAAACUUUGAAGCUUGAGCCUAACUCCAUAGAUACCUCGUAUGUAUUGGUAAAAUAUACAAUUAAUAGGUAUAUUUUAGUCAAGAUGGUAUUUUUACUAAAGAUAUAUACUCUCUCCCAGGUCCCAUGUAUUGGUGCUAUGUAUGACAUUGAUACCAAUUUUAUUGUUUGAGUAUGUUAAAUAAGUCAUGUAUCUUCUGUCAGAAAAUUUUCCCCUCAAUCUGCUAAUUGAAAAGGCAACUGAAUUCCAGGUUGGUGGAAAGUUUAUGAUCUGGGAUUCUACAAAAAAUUCCUACCAAUUAAAAGUUGAACAAUUAAUUUGAAAUCCAAGAUAAUGUGUAAAGAAGAGAUAGUGUGGCUAAUAAAUGGUCCCAUUUUUUGUUUGCAAAUUCCAAGGAAAUGGAUUUUGUGUGCCUUUAGAAUUAAUUGGUAGUUAACCAAAGGACCAUAAAUGUUAGAUCGCUACUCCUGCUUAAGUUCAUGCACUCAUCAUUCAAUACUGCCUCGCUCAUGAGAUACUUUGAUACUAGUGGGGGGUAUUCUUAUAUUUAUUGAAAUCAUCGAUUGCUUUUAAAUCAAAUCCUCUGGAUUGCAGGAUUCGUGCCAUAGCAUGGAUUUUUUUUUUUUUAUUU
rnacentral:misc_RNA from 1 species